UACGUAGGUGGCAAGCGUUGUCCGGAUUUAUUGGGUUUAAAGGGUGCGUAGGCGGUCCUUUAAGUCAGUGCUGAAAUACUCCAGCUUAACUGGAGGGGUGGCAUUGAUACUGGGGGACUUGAAUGAAGUCGAGGUAGGCGGAAUUGACGGUGUAGCGGUGAAAUGCGCAGAUAUCAGGAGGAACACCAAUGGCGAAGGCAGCUCGCUGGGACGUGACUGACGCUGAGACGCGAAAGCGUGGGGAGCAAACAGG
rnacentral:rRNA from 1 species